UGGGGAAUAUUGCACAAUGGGCGCAAGCCUGAUGCAGCCAUGCCGUGCGUAUGAAGAAGGCCUUCGGGUUGUAAAGUACUUUCAGCGGGGAGGAAGGGAGUAAAGUUAAUACCUUUGCUCAUUGACGUUACCCGCAGAAGAAGCACCGGCUAACUCCGUACCAGCAGCCGCGGUAAUACGGAGGGUGCAAGCGUUAAUCGGAAUUACUGGGCGUAAAGCGCACGCAGGCGGUUUGUUAAGUCAGAUGUGAAAUCCCCGGGCUCAACCUGGAACUGCAUCUGAUACUGGCAAGCUUGAGUCUCGUAGAGGGGGGUAGAAUUCCAGGUGUAGCGGUGAAAUGCGUAGAGAUCUGGAGGAAUACCGGUGGCGAAGGCGGCCCCCUGGACAAAGAAUGACGCUCAGGUGCGAAAGCGUGGGGAGCAAACAGG
rnacentral:rRNA from 1 species